UACAGAGGUCCCGAGCGUUGUUCGGAUUCACUGGGCGUAAAGGGUGCGUAGGUGGCAUGUUAAGUUUGAUGUGAAAGCUCAGGGCUUAACCCUGAAAUGGCAUUGAAUACUAGCGUGCUGGAGGUUUGGAGGGGGGACUGGAAUUCUCGGUGUAGCAGUGAAAUGCGUAGAUAUCGAGAGGAACACCAGUGGCGAAGGCGGCGUUCUGGACUGCAACUGACACUGAGGAACGAAAGCCAGGGGAGCAAACGGG
rnacentral:rRNA from 1 species